CAAAGGAUAGUUUAUUAAAAUAUUAAUUUUGGAGAUUAAAGAUAAGAAUUAUAUCUUUCCUUU
rnacentral:tRNA from 1 species